rnacentral:rRNA from 1 species
AGCCCCGGCUAACUACGUGCCAGCAGCCGCGGUAAUACGUAGGGGGCUAGCGUUAUCCGGAUUUACUGGGCGUAAAGGGUGCGUAGGCGGUCUUUCAAGUCAGGAGUGAAAGGCUACGGCUCAACCGGAGUAAGCUCUUGAAACUGGGAGACUUGAGUGCAGGAGAGGAGAGUGGAAUUCCUAGUGUAGCGGUGAAAUGCGUAGAUAUUAGGAGGAACACCAGUUGCGAAGGCGGCUCUCUGGACUGUAACUGACGCUGAGGCACGAAAGCGUGGGGAGCAAACAGGA